rnacentral:rRNA from 1 species
AUUGAACGCUGGCGGCAUGCCUUACACAUGCAAGUCGAACGGUAACGCGGGGCAACCUGGCGACGAGUGGCGAACGGGUGAGUAAAGCAUCGGAACGUGCCCAGUAGUGGGGGAUAGCCCGGCGAAAGCCGGAUUAAUACCGCAUACGACCUACGGGUGAAAGGGGGGGAUCGCAAGACCUCUCGCUAUUGGAGCGGCCGAUGUCAGAUUAGGUAGUUGGUGGGGUAAAGGCCUACCAAGCCGACGAUCUGUAGCUGGUCUGAGAGGACGACCAGCCACACUGGGACUGAGACACGGCCCAGACUCCUACGGGAGGCAGCAGUGGGGGAAUUUUGGACAAUGGGCGCAAGCCUGAUCCCGCCAUGCCGCGUGCGGGAAGAAGGCCU